rnacentral:lncRNA from 1 species
GAGCUUUCUAUUAUUAUUUUUAUCUCUAAUGUAACUGUUCUCUCUUCUCAACCAAUUUGAUACCAAAAAUCAAAUUCUUCUUUUUCCUCCUCAAGGUUCCAGUCUCAGGAGCUUAUCAACAAAAAAAAAUAAAAAUCUUGCACCCGCCACUUUCAUAAACCCUGAAGGUACAUUGGUUGAAGCUUUUUUAUUAUAAGCUUCCCUGUACAAGUAAAUUUGCUAUUUUUGACAUUAUGUACGCACGGCUGAAUGCUGAUGAAUCAAAUGGUGGUGACUCGUGAGUGAUCCUGACAUUUUUUGGCUCAUCUUCAUGAGGUUCGUUUUAUACAAUUUUAGCCCUUCAGUUUCAAGUGACAAAGAUGUAGGAUUAAAUGUACUUAAGAUUGUUGUAAUUGAAGCUCUCAAGCAUUAGUUUAGUUUUGAGUUAUUUCUGAAUAUAUUUUCUAGAGAGUUGUUUUAUCUGUUGAUUCAAUUCUGAUGAGGAUAUCUUUUAUUGUAUAGUCACAGGCUGCUGUUGUGUGUGUUGCUUAUCUUCUAUGAUCGAAUUUGAUUGUCAAUUAAUUUUCUAUACAAUUAAUAGAUAAAAUUGGUGUUUAUAUCUCUUUAAAGAUUUCUUUCUUCCCUAAAUAUUUCUUGUGGAAUAUCAGUAAUAGUGCUUUGUGGAAUUUGCAAGAAACUAAUGAAGCACCUCAAAUGAUGCUAAAUUAUAUAUAUAUGACACUGAUAUUCUGCUUCCAAUUAUCUAUAUCCAAGUUCCAUUUGUUCCCUUUGAUUUUCCUUUCAGUAUCUCCACCAUUUGCUCUUUGUUUGUUAUAAGGUUCUUCUGUGUUAUUUUUGGUUUUCUUCUAUUUACGUUUUACAUAAUGUGAGUUUUGAGCAAAAAGCUAUAUCAUAAUGACUUGUGUUUAUUUAAUUAUUUGUUGUGGUCAUACUGAAAGUCAAUCACUUCAUCUGUCUCUUUUUGUGAUCUGAAGGCCUGAAAAUCACACUAAAGACCGAUGACAUUAAAAGAGAAUUCAUGAAAUUAAAAAUUUAACAUUAAAGGAUAAAAAUUUAGAUGUGCUGUCAUUUAAUUUUGUUUUUAGAAUCUGUUGUAUAAUUCCCUUUCUUAAAUUACCUGAAUUGUUCUGCAAGUGAAGAUUAUUUUUUUUGGUAACAACUGUAAAAUAUUACCAUAACCACCCAAGAACGGAUACAAAUAAAGAGCACCUAAUUCUGAUAAUAGAGAACAGGCCUCCUACCAAACAUAAAACCAAUUACAUAACAAAUGUUGAAUAAAGUGUCUACAAUUUUUUUGCUUUCUUUGAACUACUAAGUGUAAUCUUUCAAUAAUUUCCUUAUUUAUCUGUGUUACUGCCUCCUUCGUAUGUACACGUUUGUCUGUAAACCUCCUCCAAUUCCUGGCACGCCAAGUGUGGUAUAUGAUAUCUCCACAGAUAGCUGCCAUGAUCUCCUUUUUAAUUGCUUCCGGUGAUUACCUUUUAUGUUUUCCAGGACCUUCAUGAUACUAAUAAUCUGCACUGGUAUUUCAGUCCAAUGGUGCAUAACUUGCCACACAGCUAAUGUCCAUUUGCAUUUCUCGAAUAGGUGAACAUUAGUCUCCAUUACUUUCUCAUCACAUAAACAACAUUCAGUGUCAUCAACCUGAAUAUUCAAUCUCAGCUUUCUCUCCUGUGUAAGAUUUCUAUUUCACUAGAGUAUUAUAUUAUUAAAAGAAUUAAUUAUUGAACAUAAAUUUGCUUCAUAGUCAAAGCACACCAGUAAAAAAGAGUUGGUAUCAAUGAAAACAAAAUUAUGACAUGAGAGAUUAGUACACUUGACUUGAACACAAGUUUCAAAAUAAACCAUGAAGAGAAAACAAAUAAAUAAUUAGCCAUCUUUAUAAUUCUAUACACAAAAUGGAGAUGAAAGUGUAGGUCAGAAAGACCACAGAUUACAGAACUAUGAUCACCAGUCAUCUUUCCUUCUCCGUUGGAUGGCAUUUUAGUUCACUUUUCUCCAUUCUUUUUACACACCUUAUCUCAGAAUCUCCCAUCAAAUUUAACUCUGUGUGUGUGGCGUACCUAGAAUCUAACAACAUCUUUUGACUAAAUACCAUCCUAAAUUACCCCUACAUUUAUACAGUGUGCUAUUGGAAGUUACUCACUUUAGGAAACAUGAAGUUCUUAUCUUUAAUCUAUCACUUACUUGGUUGUUUAAGUUAUUUUUAUUUUAUUGCACGGAGAGUUACUUACAUUUUGAAAAAUGUUGUUCUAAGCUUUUAACAAUUAUUUAUUUGGCGUUCACACUUUGUGAGUGCUCUCUUCAAAACGUGGAAAAAAUAUAUCCUAAAUAGCUUCUACGACAAUCGCAGUAAUGCAUCAAACAAUGACACUGUAGUUUAUCUGAAUUACUCACCUAAUCAAUUAAGAUCUUGACACACUUUCUACAGAUCUUUUAAGAUCCUAGAUGAAACAUAAGUAUCUUUAAAGUUAUAGCUCGCUAAUUACUAUUUUUUGCACUCAGUUUUAGAAUUCUUUAGUUGACGAUUGGUGUUUACUUGAUUUUUGAAGGUAUUUCAAAACAUCUCCCUGUUAUGUGUUUCCGGGAUAGCAAAGGUUGGCUACUAAGCUAGGUAUUGUAUCUCCAACACAAUUGAAAUGAUAGAUCAAGUUAGCUCUGCAAUAUUUACUAAAACUGUAAGUUCUUGAAAUCUUUUGGAUAUCUUUCAUCUUAAAUAUCAGUAGAUUUUCUUAAAUAUUUGUUCAAGGUUCUUCAUUCCUCCAACUGGCCGUGGUUUAGUGUUUAUGUGAUUAUACUUGUUGUCAUUGUUACAGUUCCUUACAUAUAUGCUCCGCAUUAUUUUGUUAAAAGUGUAGAUAGGUAAUAUAAUUAUUCUACAUCACUAUAGUGUAAGAGUAAGUAUGCUAACCAAAAGGGCACUGUGUGUAAUUGCAUCAGGGGCGUAAUAAUAAAAAUUUCUAUUAAUUCUAUUGUAUAGAAACAUGAAGAGCUAGGACGACCAAUGGCAUAACCAUAAAUAUACUCAAUAUUGAAGGGUAAUAUGGUCAUUAUACAACACUAAUUUUUUAGCAAUUAACAUGCGCCUCUUCUAUUUUCCUUCUAGAACAUUCUCUCUCUUCCUUCCAUGUUGCAAUUAAGAGAUGACUCAAGAAAAAGAAUUGGUAAAUUGAUCGGAUCUUUCCUAAACCUCCUCUCUCUAGACCUAAUAUGUGAUCUAUCUAUUUCAUAGACUUCUCUUGUGAUGCUACUAAAGCAGGAAUGGGUGGUGUAAAUGGUUUAAUUAUCGGUAUAUAUAAUCGGUUUAUACACAUAGGUAGCUUUAUGAACUUUAAAAAGGAUAUCUAGAAGGAUUGUAACAUGUCAUAUUCUACAAUUCUGAAGAGUAAGCAUGAUGAAUCUUUCUGAUUGAUAAAAAUGGCCUCGAGAGGGAUUGUAACAUGUCAUAUUUUUACAAUUGUGAAGAAUAAGCAUAUGUUGGAAUAUGAAUUUCAUAAAUUGUUGUUUCUUUCUGAUGAAUGUAGUAUAAUUGGUGCAGGUGAUUGACGGUUUAGUUCCAUUAACAGAGAUGUUCAAUUGCGUUAGUAAAACUUGAAAGGGAAUGACAAAGGAGCAUGCAUCGUACAUUAUGCAAUUAGGCAAGUUUGAUGUUGUCCCUCAACACAUUCAAAUCAGCUUGCCAAAAAGGAAGAAGCAGCAGUUGUUUAGUCAGUCAGCUUUCAAAUUUGGAUCCACGAACUUAAAAAUAGGUAUUUUUACUCAAUGAAGGGACUGCUCUUUGACAUCAUCUUGUCUUUUGGUGUUGCAAUUUCAGUUUGAUCUUUUAUCUUAAUUUUAGCCAUUAUUUUAAGAUUCUCUUUACAUUUUCCAACAUGGUUGAAGCGGUUAUAUUUUGACUAGCUUUCACUGCCAUAAAUUUCAUAGAGGCAAGUCAACAUGCCGGUUUUAUACUGAUUUGUUGUGAAUUUCAACCUCUUACUUGUUCUCCUAUGCUUGGUGGUUAAUUUCUUUAAAUUUUUUUACUCAACGGUUAGUCUCCCGUGGUUUCCACUCCAAGUCCACCAAUCCAACGUAAACUUGCCAACAUCGUAUUUCAUGAAACUUGUGUGCACUUACCAAACUACCCUGCCCCUUCGCCCUCAACCAUUAGCUCCCACGCCUAAUAACAAGGACAUCAUAGUAAAAUCACUUUGUUACCGUAAUCGAACAGACCCCAUAGAAUAUAGUUGGACUGGUUAUUUUUUUCUUUAACUUCUUUAAUAAUAAUUAAGAAUCUACGUUAACACUUGACUAAUAGUAUAUGAGUUCCCUCUGUUCUUUUUUCCAUCAUAAAGUUUAAUUUUUCUUUGUUGUUUCUAAAUUAAAACUUGUAUUCUUUUAAUUCCAAUCUUUUAACCUUUUAGGUGAACCAAGAAAAGAAAAAAUGUUGGAUGCAUAAAAGAAUAACAAGUUUUAUUCCCAAUGGUAAGAGUGACAAUUUGUUAGGGUUGGUUUUUUUUUUCCAUAAAUAUUUUUCAGAAUGUAGAAAAUUAUUUUUCUUGUUAAUUUUGCUUAUGUUGUGGGAAUUUUCUGAUAUAACAAGAGUCUACAAUCAGGCAGACGAAAACUCAAAUCGAAAUGAUCAGGAAGUAGAGAUAUGCAAUGUAGAAAUAUUUGAAGAAUGAUAUAACUGGCGUCUUAAAAUAUGGAUUGGAUGUCAACCCCUGCCACAGGGUAAUUUUCUUUUGUUGGAAUUGAUCCAUCUAUAUAUUCUGUUAUUCUAUCACUUAGUUUUAUUUUAUAUGGCCUCUUUCUUUAUACUGAUUUGUUGUGAGUUUUAGUUUUAUUUUAUAUGGCCUGUUUCUUUAUACUGAUUUGUUUGAGUUUCAACCUCUUACGUGUUCUCCUAUUCUUUGGUGGUUAAUUCCAUUAGUUUUUUUGUAUGUGCAUGUUAGUUCGUGCACAUAUCUUUUCUUCUACUUGAUUUUCCUAAAACCAAAUACACGCUAUCACUAAGAAUAAUGGUCUAUUGAGUUCUCUUCCUCUCAAUGCAACUGCAUUGCUUUGGCUAAUUUAUAUGAGCUUAAGGAAAAAGAAAAUGUAGAGUGAAUUUUUUAAAAAGAAAAUGUAGAGUGAUUUUUUUUUCUUUCUUUCUUUUCGGUGAUUACUAAGAAAGGCUAAUGAUCUAAAUUUAUGCAUUCUCUAAGUUGGUCUUUUUCAUAAGCACCAUGCCAAGUCAAAAAGGGCCACAUAAAAUAGGAUAGAUGGAGUAUAAUUUUUUUUUAAAUGUACUUCCUAUCAUAAAUAGUUAUUUUUGUAAUGAAAAAAUUAACAUAAAAUGUAUUCUUGAUAAAAAUAUUAGCCCCCCCCCCCUCCCCCUAAAAUUGAGGGCCCAAGGCAUGUGCUUACUUUUUAUAGCAUAGAGUUUACCAUGUGUUGCAAUUCUCAAGCCUUAAUUAGCUCUUGAAGAAGGUUAGCAACCACAUAUAUCUUCCUUCUCAGAAAUAUUUAUGCACAAAUAUACUUAUAUACGUGCAAGAUGUUUUAACAGUAAAUAUUGAAAUAUAGCGCAAGACUCUUCUCAUAUGAGCCAGACAUGUUUCAAUAUUCUAUGUGCUAAGAGGAUUCUUCCAUGAUUGUGAUUUUGAAUUUUGCAAUGUGAAUGACAGGAAUACUUUCUUGAAUCUAUUUCCUUAGGGCAUUGAGUGAAGGUUGUUCCUUUCAAAUUCACAUAUAACUUGGUAUAUGUUAAUUCUUUGUGGUUAUCUUCAGUAUUUUAUUUUAAAUUGACAUAUAACUUGUAAUAUGCUGGUUCUUUGUGAUUGUCUUCACUAUUUUAUUUUUACUUUUGCUUUAAGUGCUACUAUUUUUAUGAACAGUUGUUAUUUCGGAACUUUUAUUCCUUUCCUUGAGAUAUUAAAGCUGGAGUAUAUAGUUCGUGCUGAGUGAAGGAAAUUUUGCAUCUUAUCAAGACAAUUGCAAACACUCGAGGCAUCAAUGGAUUUAUGAAACGGAAUUUUAUUACUCUACAUGCAGCUCCAUUUAAGGAUACCAACUUCUAUUCUUUUGAAAAAUACAGAGAGCAUCUACUCAAAUUUACUACUAAUGAUUCAAGGCAUCACUAGAUUUUGUAAAAUGAAUUUUGUCAUAUUCUAUGAUUAGCUCUAUGUAAGUCUAUCCACUUCUAUUUUCUUAUGAUAAAUAUUGAAAAGUAUUUAGAAGAUAGUUGUCUGCAAUGUAAA